rnacentral:rRNA from 1 species
GACGAGCGCUGGCGGCGUGCUUAACACAUGCAAGUCGAACGGAAAGGCCCUGCUUUUGUGGGGUGCUCGAGUGGCGAAAGGGUGAGUAACACGUGAGUAACCUGCCCUUGACUUUGGGAUAACUUCAGGAAACUGGGGCUAAUACCGGAUAGGAGCUCCUGCUGCAUGGUGGGGGUUGGAAAGUUUCGGCGGUUGGGGAUGGACUCGCGGCUUAUCAGCUUGUUGGUGGGGUAGUGGCUUACCAAGGCUUUGACGGGUAGCCGGCCUGAGAGGGUGACCGGCCACAUUGGGACUGAGAUACGGCCCAGACUCCUACGGGAGGCAGCAGUGGGGAAUAUUGCACAAUGGGCGGAAGCCUGAUGCAGCAACGCCGCGUGCGGGAUGACGGCCUUCGGGUUGUAAACCGCUUUCGCCUGUGACGAAGCGUGAGUGACGGUAAUGGGUAAAGAAGCACCGGCUAACUACGUG